UACGAAGGGGGCUAGCGUUGCUCGGAAUCACUGGGCGUAAAGCGCACGUAGGCGGCUUUCUAAGUCAGGUGUGAAAUCCUGGAGCUCAACUCCAGAACUGCCUUUGAUACUGGGGAGCUCGAGUCCGGAAGAGGUGAGUGGAACUCCGAGUGUAGAGGUGAAAUUCGUAGAUAUUCGGAAGAACACCAGUGGCGAAGGCGGCUCACUGGUCCGGUACUGACGCUGAGGUGCGAAAGCGUGGGGAGCAAACAGG
rnacentral:rRNA from 1 species